CGCAGCCCGGUUGCCAUAGCGCUGCCAGCCUUGGCUAUCAAGUAGCAGAGAGCAGUCAUUACUCAACGGAAAGAAAUAAAAAAAAAAAAAAAAAAAAAAAAGAAAAACAAACCCCAACCCCACCAAAAUCCAGGGCUGCACGAGCCAAUCAACAUUUUCUUCCCUUUUUAAUUCACGCAGCCAGCCUGCGGGAGCAUCCCUGCGCGCAUCCCAGCCCGGCCGGCCGCUGCGCUGUUUCCUUGCGGGAGUUUUCGGCUCAGCCUCUCCCUGCGCUGAGCAGGACGGACUGCAGUGCUGACUCACGGACACCUGUGACGCUGGCCGUGGCAGCGGCAGAUGGCGGGGGAUGUGGCUCCCGGGAAGCUUUUUGGCGUACCUGUGCGGCUGGAGCCGCCCCCACCCGCGACUGCGACUCCAGGUGCUCUGCGGAUCGCAGCGCCGUGCCUUAGCAACCAGAAAACACAAGACAUCCACUGAAAUCCACAUCAACAGAUUCCUUUUGAAGUCUACAGUGUUCACAUUCUGCACUGCCAGUCUCCUUGUACCUGCUUUGCACUUCUGAUUUCUUUCUGGUUUCCUAACCUUCUCUCCCUACACCCACCAACCUAUUCUCAAGGCUUUUGUUGAAAAGAAGUCCCCGCCUUUGUAAAAACUGUCAAACUGCAAUUCUGCAUCUCCAUAUGGUUUCUUCACAGGGACAUGUUUUUCAGAGGAUCAUGGUAUGUUCACUGUUAUGCUUGUGUUCACUGGUAGAGAUCCAGAAGACAAGAGAGUUCCAGCAUCUGGAUUUCAGCUUGUUUGGCAUGCACUGCCUUUGGCAAUGGGAAGGCAAAGCUGCCAUCUUCAGCAAUUUGGAGGAAGGUGUCUCUGAGCCACCUGGAGUGCUGCAUGCAUCACCCUGCUGAGUGAUGUCACUAAACAAUCCUCCUUGUGCUUGACCAUGCAUGACCUGGGAUCCCCUGCACUCUUUUUAUUCCCCAGUUCUCUGCUGUGUGUGCAUGUCUCAGAAGCCAUGCUCCACAGAAAUGGUGUGGAAGCCACCUGGCAAUCCUCCUCUUGCAGGUGGUACAGGACCCCCUCCACCUCUCACUAAGUCUUCUUUUAUAUUUCCCAUUGCCUUCAUGCCCCUGAGAAAAUCUUCCUGUACUGGCAUCUGUUGUACUGACUGCAGUUGAAACCUGGUGCAAAGUAAAAGUUGGAUACUCACAGAAAGUGUCACCAAUGUCUCUUGCUGAUUAAAAUCCAUAAGCAUAACUUAAUAAUGUUUCAGUAUUUCAAAUGUAUUUUAAUUCUUGUCUACAGAUCCUUCAAGUCUGGAACUCCACAGAGUGUUAAACUUUUUUCUUGUUUCCUGUAAAUAAAUCUGACUGCAAAAAGAGUUUAAUUCCCACAUUACAUGUAAGGCAGAAAACCUCAACAUUGUCUUAUGUAAACUCAUGAAUGACAGCAGCUAUUUAAAUCUAUUUGAUCAUUCAGCCUUUCAAGUCAUCUCCUUAACAAGAUAUAAAAGUUUCAGUGGGAUGUUAAAAUGUUGAAUGUAUGUGGGAGGGAUCUACACUUUACAAUGCUGGAGACCAGGAUAUUGUGUUGUUCACAGUGCAUGUGUAAAAAGAAAGGAAAUGCUUUCUUAUGGUGCUUACUUUUAUGGUUUCUUACUAAAUGCUUUCUUACAGCUCAUAAGGUAUUGAUUAAAAAAAACAGAGGACUUAAGAUACUUCACUGUAAGUAUCAUGUUCAAUUCAUGUAUCUUGGAUAACGGACUUGUAGCUCAAUUUUGGAUGCCUGUUGAAUAACCAUUCCCAAAAUAAGUUUUUUAAGAAGUUAAGGGGUAGAGGUCUUCAGAGACACUCAUCUCUUUUGCUUUUUAGUUACCUUGGUGAACCAGCCUACAUAAAAUAAGUGUUUAAAUGCUAAAAUGUAGCAUUAUUUUUGUAGGCAGAGUUGCAGAUUCACUAACCACACUGCUGAUUUUUUUUUUCAGCAAUGCAAUUCCUUAAACUCUGAUUGCUGUAAUCUGAAAUAAUAAUGCAGUAUGCUGCUUAUUGUAUCUUUCAUGUAGAGGUUCCUACUUGCAGUCUACAUUUGUUUAAUGGAGAAGCUCAAAAGGUAACACACUGCUCCUGCUGAUCAACAACAUAAAUGAGCUGUUUUCUCUCCUGGCUUAUUCAGUGUAUGCAAAUAUCUCUU